AUCUUUUCCUGCAGAAUACAGACGUAUAGGUGCUAUGAUUUAUGCGAACUGUGUUUUGGCCCUGACGAGAGAUUUUCCUGUGAUUCGGUGUAACACCUGCCACCAUCCAACUACUAUUGUUUCUGCGAGUCCAGCCUUCCAAUAUAGAUGUGCUCAAGAUGUUUCUGAUGAGUUCAUCUAUUUUCGUCCUAUUGAUGCAGAAGUUCGAGAAGAACCCAGAAGACAAAAACAACAGAAACAAACCUUAGCUUCUCAUCAACACACCCGAGAAGAACACAGCCAUCCACGAACCCCAAGAAAUCCGUGGCUGGAAUCUCCAGAAAAUGCAGAGUCUCCAAGAGAUGAUGACCUGGAAGUAGCAAAAAGCAUGUAUCCUUUUGGAGAAAGACCCAUCUUCCGACAUUCCUGGGAAGAGCUCUUAGAAGCACCACUGAACAGUGAAGGACUCCACAUUCUCCAAACUACUCCUACAAAAGAGAAAGAGAUUGGCUACCUCCAGCUGCCACCAGAGGAGAAGAAUCAAGCAACCACCUCUCAUAGGGGUUGCCAUCUCGAUGCCUUGCAAGGCCCUUUCCCAUUGCUGCCCCAGCAUCCUAAGCUUCAGAGGCAGCGAAGUCACAGCCUACCACGAUACAGAAGCCGAAAAUUAAAUGUACCUGAGUUAACGUUAAACCCAGAGGAGACACGUUUCUUCUUUCCAAGUGAUCAUAAUUUGCUUACAAGAGAAACUGCAAAAGACGGAGACAGCAUUGAAGAGGCUUGGCAAGAGGCCAUUUUGUCAGCUUCUGGAGAACAUCCUCCUUUCAAUCCAAGCUUUGAGAAUUCUUCUGCAAUGAGGGGUAAAAUUGGAAUUCCUGUAGAUAAUACUAGACUUCCCAGGGGCAAUGUUAAAUUUCCCAGGAAUAGUGUCAUCAUUCCCGUGGGUAAUGAUGGAGUUCCUAUGGGUAAUGUUGGGCUUUUCAUGGAUAAUGCUGGGAUUCCCAUGGAUAAUGCUGGGAUUCCCAUGGAUAAUCUUGGAGUUCUCAGGGGCCGUGGUGGAGUCCCCAUGGGUAACCUUGAAGUUCCUAGAGGCAAUGGUGGCGUUCCCAGGGGCAGUGGUGUUGGAAUUUCCAUGGGUAAUGUUGAAACUCUCAGGAAUAAUGUUGGAACUUCCAGACGUAUUAUAUCCUCUCCACUUACUGAGCUCUCAAAGAUAGGUGAACACCGUUUAUAAAAACUGACACUUUGCAAAGGAGCCCUGAUAGUUAAAGUAACACAGUUAGACACUAAACAUCAAAGCAGAGCUGUACCAGAUCUUAAAAUCUAAAAUAGUAAAUGAAAAAUCUAAAUUCAAAAUGCAUAAAUAAAUACAUAAAUACAAACA
rnacentral:lncRNA from 1 species